AUGGGUCUAGUUCACAUCAGUCCUCUAGUUUUGAACACCAUGAGUCUAGAUCAGGGCAGUCUGGCCGUGGCCAACAUGGGUCAGGCUCAGGUCAAUCCACUGGCUCUGGAAAACAUGGCUCAGCCUCAGGCCAGUCCUCUGGCUCUGGACUACAUGGGUCUAGUUCACAUCAGUCCUCUAGUUUUGAGCUCCAUGAGUCCAGAUCAGGGCAGUCUGGCUGUGGCCAACAUGGGUCAGGCUCAGGGCAAUCCCCUGGCUCUGGAAAACAUGGCUCAGCCUCAGGUCAGUCCUCGGGCUCUGGACAACAUGGGUCUAGUUCACAUCAGUCCUCUAGUUUUGAGCACCAUGAGUCCAGAUCAGGGCAGUAUGGCUCAGGACAACAUGGGUCAGGCUCAGGCCAGUCCUCUGGCGGCGGCCAACAUGGGUCAGGCUCAGGUCAAUCCUCUGGCUCUGGACACCGUGGGUCAGCCUCAGUCCAGUCCUCUGGCUCUGGACAACAUGGGUCAGGCUCAGUCCAGUCCUCUGGCUCUGGACAACAUGGGUCAGGCUCAGUCCAGUCCUCUGGCUCUGGACAACAUGGGUCUAGUUCACAUAAGUCCUCUGGCUCUGGAAAACAUGGCUCAGGCUCAGGUCAGUCCUCUGGCUCUGGACAACAUGGGUCUAGUUCGCAUCAGUCCUCUAGUUUUGACUACCAUGAGUCUAGAUCAGGGCAGUCUGGCUCAGGACAACAUGGGUCAGGCUCAGGCCAGUCCUCUGGCUUUGGCCCACAUGGGUCAGGCUCAGGUCAAUCCUCUGGCUCUGGAAAACAUGGCUCAGGCUCAGGUCAGUCCUCUGGCUCUGGACAACAUGGGUCAGGCUCAGGCCAGUCCUCUGGCUCUGGAAAACAUGGGUCUAGUUCGCAUCAGGCCUCUAGUUUUGAAUACCAUGAGUCUAGAUCAGGGCAGUCUGGCUAUGGCCAACUCGGGUCAGGCUCAGGCCAGUCCUCUGGCUUUGGACCCCAUGGGUCAGCCUCAGGUCAGUCUUCAGGCUCUGGACAACAUGGGUCUGGUCCGCAUCAGUCUUCUAGUUUUGAGCACCAUGAGUCCAGAUCAGGGCAGUCUGGCCGUGGCCAACACAGGUCAGGCUCAGGCCAGUCCUCUGGCUGUGGCCAACACGGGUCAGGCUCAGGCCAGUCCUCUGGCUUUGGCCAACACAGGUCAGGCUCAGGUCAAUCCUCUGGCUUUGGCCCACAUGGGUCAGCCUCAGGCCAGUCCUCUGGCUCUGGAAAACAUGGCUCAGCCUCAGGCCAGUCCUCUGGCUCUGGACAACAUGGAUCAGGCUCAGGCCAGUCCUCUGGCUCUGGGCAUCAUGGGUCUAGUUCACAUCAGUCCUCUAGUUUUGAGCACCAUGAGUCCAGAUCAAGGCAGUCUGGCUGUGGCCAACACGGGUCAGGCUCAGGCCAGUCCUCUGGCUGUGGCCAACAUGGGUCAGCCUCAGGCCAGUCCUCUGGCUCUGGACAACAUGGAUCAGGCUCAGGCCAGUCCUCUGGCUCUGGACAACAUGGGUCAGGCUCAAGCCAGUCCUCUGGCUCUGGACGACAUGGGUCAGCCUCAGGCCAGUCCUCUGGCUGUGGCCAACACGGGUCAGGCUCAGGCCAGUCCUCUGGCUGUGGCCAACAUGGGUCAGCCUCAGGUCAGUCCUCUGGCUCUGGACACCAUGGGUCAAGCUCAAGUCAGUCUUCUGUCUCUGGACAACAAGGGUCUAGUUCACAUCAGUCCUCUAGUUUUGAAUACCAUGAGUCUAGAUCAGGGCAGUCAGGCUAUGGCCAACAUGGGUCAGGCUCAGGUCAAUCCUCUGGC
rnacentral:lncRNA from 1 species